AUGUGGGCCAAGCAGGCCCAAGGGGAGCCCAUGUGGGAAGUGGGCUUGCCUAGAGAGAGGCGAUUGGUGGAGUAGGAACUUGUACCAGACGGUUUUGCUAGUUAAUAGUAAUAGAAUCGUGUGCAAGUUUGAAAGUGAUUCCGGUUUGUUCUUCGUUGUUCAUAUUUCUUGUUGGUUUUCGUUUUAUUUCUUGAAUCUCACUAAGUUUGGAUUCCGCACAAACUUGGUGAUUGUUUGAUAUCACUGAAAGAUCCGUUAAACGGGACUUACAAGUGGUAUUAGAGCCUUUAGAACCUAUUUCUAGGCUCGGUGUGAUAUCAAAUAUUCAAGAUUUCGAAUUUUCGUUCAUCGCGUUCUUCGUGUUCUUCGUUGUGUUCUUUGAAAAUUUAUCAAAAUUUAGUAUAUUUUGGUACCUUGAUUUUUGAAAAAGUUGUUAAAAGAUUAGGUGUAAUCUUUUAUUUACUCUAAAAAUAUUCUGAUUUUUCAAAAAUUCCCUAAGUUUCAGUGGGUAGUUAUUGAGUUGAUUGAGCUUUCCAUAUAUUAUUGUUAUAAAAUACAACUCCUCCGAUUUCGAGUUAUCACGUUCUGAGUCGCAACCACAAGAUCACAUUCAACGGUCAUCUUCUCAGCAGUGAGUCGCAACCACAAGUCGCAACCUCAAUUCAUCUUCCACGGUUUCGACAAACACUGCUCCGAGUCGCAACCACCAACUUCAUUAUCAUCGUUCAUCUCGAGUCGCAACCGUCAUUCCGAGUCGCAACCGUCAAAACCUGCACCUCAUCUCCGAUCAUCAUCGUCAAACCACUUCAGGCUUCUUCAGCUUUUGUCUGGACUCGAGCCGUUUCCGACUCGCAAUCUCGAGUCGCAACCGCGUUUCUAUUUGCAACUCAGUUUCGAAAUCAUCUCCGGUUAUCAUCACCAUCAACAAACACUGAACCACCACCUCUCAUCAUCGUCUGCUCACCACUUCAUCACCUGAACUACCAAAAGUUUCAUCAUCAUCGGUUACCUUCACGAUAACAGUCACCAUCAACGGCCACGAUAUAUCAUCUCCGUUCACCACCGUGACGCAUCAUCACUGAUCAUCAUCUCCGGCAGCAUCAUCAAUCAACACCACUCCGCAACCGAUCCCGCACACCGACACCGUACUCCGAUCUACCACCGUCUUCAUCAACUGCUCUAUAUCAUCAUCAUCAAACAUCUCUGGUGAACCUGACGUGAAACGAACACGCAACCCUCUGAUUGUUUCGAGACAAUAACCGAACAUCUCAACGUCUCCGAUCAAACUCCAUUUGAACCGGUCAUCAUUGUUCACCAUCAUUGUUCACCAUAAUCACAACCAUAACCAUCACCUUCAUCAUCGCACCAACUCCAAUAACGACUCGCAAACACCGUUCCGACUCACCAUUCCGAGUCGCAACCUACACAUCAUCAGAUCUUGUUCAUUAUCAUCAUCUGUUUUCGAGUUUUUGAGUCGUGUGUUAGACAUCAUUAUCAUCCGUCGUUUCUGUUCAUUAUCAUCAUCAUCCGUUCUUCUUGAACCGCACCACCGCACCGUCAUCGUCAUCCGCCACCAUCGUCAUCACAUCCAACGGAACAAGGUCAUAUUCUUCACCUCCGGCGACCAACGGAACAACCUUCGCCAUCUUCAUUCUGUCAUUGAGUAACGAAGAAGAAUACAGUCGACUGUUUAUUUGGAACUGGUUUUGGUUUUGGUUUCGGUGACUGUUGGACGAAGAAGAAGACAUACCAAACUUCUGUUAGGUUUCAUUAUUAAUAUAUUAAUUAUAAUAUUAUUG
rnacentral:lncRNA from 1 species